UACGGGGGGGGCAAGCGUUGUUCGGAAUUACUGGGCGUAAAGGGCUCGUAGGCGGCCAACUAAGUCGGACGUGAAAUCCCUCGGCUUAACCGGGGAACUGCGUCCGAUACUGGAUGGCUUGAGUUCGGGAGAGGGAUGCGGAAUUCCAGGUGUAGCGGUGAAAUGCGUAGAUAUCUGGAGGAACACCGGUGGCGAAGGCGGCAUCCUGGACCGAGAUUGACGCUGAGGCGCGGAAAGCCAGGGGAGCAAACGGG
rnacentral:rRNA from 1 species